GACGAACGCUGGCGGCGUGCCUAAUACAUGCAAGUAGAACGCUGAAGAGAGGAGCUUGCUCUUCUUGGAUGAGUUGCGAACGGGUGAGUAACGCGUAGGUAACCUGCCUUGUAGCGGGGGAUAACUAUUGGAAACGAUAGCUAAUACCGCAUAACAAUGGAUGACACAUGUCAUUUAUUUGAAAGGGGCAAUUGCUCCACUACAAGAUGGACCUGCGUUGUAUUAGCUAGUAGGUGAGGUAAUGGCUCACCUAGGCGACGAUACAUAGCCGACCUGAGAGGGUGAUCGGCCACACUGGGACUGAGACACGGCCCAGACUCCUACGGGAGGCAGCAGUAGGGAAUCUUCGGCAAUGGGGGCAACCCUGACCGAGCAACGCCGCGUGAGUGAAGAAGGGUGUCGGAUCGUAAAGCUCGGUUGUAAGUCAAGAACGGGUGUGAGAGUGGAAAGUUCACACUGUGACGGUAGCUUACCAGAAAGGGACGGCUAACUACGUG
rnacentral:rRNA from 1 species